AUCCCACAGCCCUGCGCAGAGUGGGAGCCAGACUUUGGGGUCCAGGUCAAGGCCAGAGGGUGAAGGGGACAUGAUUCAGCACUGUGGGCCUGCGGACGUACGGGGGAAGCGGGGCCCUGCAGGGCCCCCCCAGGACGCAGGGCUGUGGGCUAUGAGUCCUGCCUCACCCUGCAGCCUGCACCGCCUCUGCUUCUCCAAGCAGGAGCCGCCGAGUGAUUGAUGGGCCCCAGCUUGAAUGGAAAGUCCAGAUUCCAGCAACACAGCUUAAGAGAUGAAGGUUGCUUGAGCAGGAAAUCCACCCAUGGCCCAAAGAGGAAAGAUCCGCUUUAAAUGCCUGGGCAUAUACUUCCAAGAACCAGAUGUGGCCUGUUCCUUACACCUCCCCGGGCUUAGAUGACAGCUUGAACUCUGCGGCUGAUGGAAUUGAGCAGAUGGGAAUGACCUGGAAUCUAACACUCUACAAUUCAGACACACCACUGUCCACUUGUCCCUCCCUUCCUGCCACUGGCCCUGCCAGCGUACCUUGUGUACUUCGCAAAGGUCACUGGCUCCUGUUUUAUGUAAUGACUGACAGGCGAUCCCGCCCAGCUCAGCAAUGUGAACAGACACCUUGCAUGGUGCCGGUGGUGGGUGCGGUUGUUUCUGGAUGUCAUGGAAGAGGCUGGGGCAUUCCAGGGCUUUCCCCAAUUGUGCCUAAAAUAAAUUGGCUCUUGGGAGGUU